rnacentral:rRNA from 1 species
AUUGAACGCUGGCGGCAUGCCUUACACAUGCAAGUCGAACGGCAGCACGGGUGCUUGCACCUGGUGGCGAGUGGCGAACGGGUGAGUAAUACAUCGGAACGUACCUUAUCGUGGGGGAUAACGCAGCGAAAGCUGUGCUAAUACCGCAUACGCCCUGAGGGGGAAAGCGGGGGAUCGCAAGACCUCGCGCGAUUAGAGCGGCCGAUGGCUGAUUAGCUUGUUGGUGGGGUAAAAGCCCACCAAGGCGACGAUCAGUAGCUGGUCUGAGAGGACGAUGAGCCACACUGGGACGGGGACACGCCCCGGACUCCUACGGGAGGGAGCAGUGGGGAAUUUUGGACAAUGGGGGCAACCCUGAUCCAGCAAUGCCGCGUGAGUGAAGAAGGCCUUCGGGUUGUAAAGCUCUUUUGUCAGGGAAGAAACACCGGCUCUAACACAGUCCGGGAAUGACGGUACCUGAAGAAUAAGCACCGGCUAACUACGUGCCAGCAGCCGCCGUAA